UACGUAGGGUGCAAGCGUUAUUCGGAAUUACUGGGCUUAAAGAGUUCGUAGGCGGCAUUGCAAGUAGGGUGUGAAAGCCCUCGGCUCAACCGAGGAAUUGCGCUCUAAACUGCAGUGCUUGAGGAACCUAGAGGUGAGCAGAACAGAUGGUGGAGCGGUGAAAUGCGUUGAUAUCAUCUGGAAUACCGGAGGCGAAGGCGGCUCACUGGGAGUUUUCUGACGCUGAGGAACGAAAGCCAGGGUAGCGAACGGG
rnacentral:rRNA from 1 species